rnacentral:lncRNA from 1 species
UAACGUGUACGAAAUCGGUAAUCACGUAAAUAAACAUAUGAUUAAACAAAGUCUAACAUAUAUAUUAACACAAAUUAUGAUGAUUCUAAACUUAAAAGGUUAGAGAACCUGAGUGUGGAAUAUAAAAAUACAACUAAAUAUAGAGGUAUAGUUGGUGGAGCAUUAGAAACUAGAAUGAACCUUUACCUAUCAUCCACAACCAAUCA